AACCACACUAUCAAUGAAUGGAUUCAUCCGCGAGAUGACGCGGCUAUUUCACAUAGGACGAGGAUGUGUCAUCCUAUUAUCAGCCAUCGCACGAAAUUAAUAGGAUAUGCCACGUCAUCAUCCUAGAUGGAACAACCAUGUCAAAAUAUAUGUGAAACUAAACUAUCAAAAUAUAUGUGGUU
rnacentral:pre_miRNA from 1 species